rnacentral:rRNA from 1 species
UACGGGGGGGGCAAGCGUUGUUCGGAAUUACUGGGCGUAAAGCGCGCGUAGGCGGCUUUGUAAGUUAGAGGUGAAAGCCCGGGGCUCAACCCCGGAAUUGCCUUUAAGACUGCAUCGCUUGAAUCCGGGAGAGGUGAGUGGAAUUCCCAGUGUAGAGGUGAAAUUCGUAGAUAUUGGGAAGAACACCGAUGGCGAAGGCAGCCAUCUGGACCGACACUGACGCUGAGGCGCGAAAGCGUGGGGAGCAAACAGG